rnacentral:rRNA from 1 species
ACGGAGGGUGCAAGCGUUAAUCGGAAUUACUGGGCGUAAAGCGCAUGCAGGCGGUUAUUUAAGUCAGAUGUGAAAGCCCGGGGCUUAACCUCGGAAUUGCAUUUGAUACUGGAUAACUAGAGUACCUUAGGGGGUGGUAGAAUUUCAGGUGUAGCGGUGAAAUGCGUAGAUAUCUGAAGGAAUACCCGUGGCGAAGGCGGCCACCUGGAAGAGUACUGACGCUCAGAUGCGAAAGCGUGGGUAGCAAACAGG